AUCCAGAAGCACAUGAGAGAUUAUAUUUAAGUGGUAAUUAAUUUCAGAUUAGAUCUGAUUUAAUUAGACUUAAUUGGGUUUAAAAUUUUAAGUUAGACUUGAUUCGAAAUCCUAAACAAUUUAGGAUUGACAUCCUUUCGAAAGUAUUUCGAAUCAGCUUUGAAUUGGAUUCAAAUUGAUCCAAUUUUGGAUGAGAUCCUUAAAGUUUAUUUUCACUAGGACUCUCUCAUCUCC
rnacentral:lncRNA from 1 species